rnacentral:rRNA from 1 species
GUGGUUUAAUUCGAAGCAACGCGAAGAACCUUACCAGGUCUUGACAUCCCUGACAACCCGAGAGAUCGGGCGUUCCCCUUCGGGGGACAGGGUGACAGGUGGUGCAUGGUUGUCGUCAGCUCGUGUCGUGAGAUGUUGGGUUAAGUCCCGCAACGAGCGCAACCCUCGACCUUAGUUGCCAGCAUUCAGUUGGGCACUCUAAGGUGACUGCCGGCUAAAAGUCGGAGGAAGUGGGGAUGACGUCAAAUCAUCAUGCCCCUUAUGACCUGGGCUACACACGUGCUACAAUGGGCGGUACAAAGGGUCGCGAACCCGCGAGGGGGAGCCAAUCCCAAAAAGCCGCUCUCAGUUCGGAUUGCAGGCUGCAACUCGCCUGCAUGAAGCCGGAAUCGCUAGUAAUCGCGGAUCAGCAUGCCGCGGUGAAUACGUUCCCGGGCCUU